rnacentral:tRNA from 1 species
CAAAAUAAAGCUUGAUAGUAAGCAUUUCAUUUACACUGAGAGGUAAUUUCGUGCAAUUCGAAUAUUUUGA